AACUCCGGUUGAUCCUGCCGGAGGUGACUGCUAUGGGGGUCCGAUUAAGCCAUGCGAGUCGAGAGAUUUCGGAUCUCGGCAGACUGCUCAGUAACACGUGGAGAACCUACCCUACGGAGAGGGAUACCCUCGGGAAACUGAGGACAAUACCUCAUAGUCGAUCAGGACUGGAAUGUCCGGUCGAUGAAACGUUCCGACGCCUUAGGAUGGCUCUGCGGCCUAUCAGGUAGUAGUCAGGGUCACGACCUGACUAGCCGACGACGGGUACGGGCGUUGAGAGACGUAGCCCGGAGAUGGAUUCUGAGACACGAAUCCAGGCCCUACGGGGCGCAGCAGGCGCGAAACCUUCGCAAUGCGCGAGAGCGCGACGAGGGGACCCCCAGUGCCGGCACUUAGUGUCGGCUGUUUGGAUGCCUAACCACCAUCCGGAGGAAGGGCUGGGUAAGACGGGUGCCAGCCGCCGCGGUAAUACCCGCAGCCCAAGUGGUCACCGAUGUUACUGGGCCUAAAGUGUCCGUAGCCGGCUUGGCAAGUGCCUGGGUAAAUCGGAUCGCUUAACGAUCCGAAUUUCAGGCGAACUGCCGAGCUAGAGACCGGGAGAGGCCGAAGGUACUCCAGGGGUAGGGGUGAAAUCCUGUAAUCCCUGGGGGACCGCCGGUGGCGAAGGCGUUCGGCUGGAACGGGUCUGACGGUGAGGGACGAAGCCCUGGGGAGCAAACCGGAUUAGAUACCCGGGUAGUCCAGGGUGUAAACAUUGUGAGUUUGGUGUCGGGGGUCCUGCGAGGGCGCUCGGUGCCGAAGCGAAGGCGUUAAGCUCACCGCCUGGGGAGUACGACCGCAAGGUUGAAACUUAAAGGAAUUGGCGGGGGAGCACCGCAACGGGAGGAGCGUGCGGUUUAAUUGGAUUCAACGCCGGAAAGCUCACCAGAGAAGAGUGGCAGAUGUGGGUCAGGCUGAUGGCCUUGCCCGAACGUCACAGAGGUGGUGCAUGGCCGUCGUCAGCUCGUACCGUAAGGCGUUCUGUUAAGUCAGAUAACGAGCGAGACCCUUACCUGCAAUUGCCACCCGGUCCUCCGGGAUCGGAGCACAUUGCAGGGACCGCUGAUGCUAAAUCAGAGGAAGGAUAGGGCAACGGUAGGUCAGUAUGCCCCGAAUUCUCUGGGCUACACGCGCGCUACAAAGGGCGGGACAAUGGGUAUCGACGCCGAGAGGUGAAGGUAACCCCGAAACCCGUCCGUAGUUUGGAUCGAGGACUGCAACUCGUCCUCGUGAAACUGGAUUCCGUAGUAAUCGCGCCUCAAAAUGGCGCGGUGAAUAUGCCCCUGCUCCUUGCACACACCGCCCGUCAAACCAUCCGAGUUGGGUCCGAGUGAGGCAGCCUCUUCCUGGGGCCGUCGAACUCGGAUUCAGCGAGGAGGGUUAAGUCGUAACAAGGUAUCCGUAGGGGAACCUGCGGAUGGAUCACCUCCUA
rnacentral:rRNA from 1 species